UCGAACGCGUUGGCCCAAUUGAUUGAUGGUGCUUGCACCUGAUUGAUUUUGGUCGCCAACGAGUGGCGGACGGGUGAGUAACACGUAGGUAACCUGCCCAGAAGCGGGGGACAACAUUUGGAAACAGAUGCUAAUACCGCAUAACAGCGUUGUUCGCAUGAACAACGCUUAAAAGAUGGCUUCUCGCUAUCACUUCUGGAUGGACCUGCGGUGCAUUAGCUUGUUGGUGGGGUAACGGCCUACCAAGGCGAUGAUGCAUAGCCGAGUUGAGAGACUGAUCGGCCACAAUGGGACUGAGACACGGCCCAUACUCCUACGGGAGGCAGCAGUAGGGAAUCUUCCACAAUGGGCGCAAGCCUGAUGGAGCAACACCGCGUGAGUGAAGAAGGGUUUCGGCUCGUAAAGCUCUGUUGUUAAAGAAGAACACGUAUGAGAGUAACUGUUCAUACGUUGACGGUAUUUAACCAGAAAGUCACGGCUAACUACGUGCCAGCAGCCGCGGUAAUACGUAGGUGGCAAGCGUUAUCCGGAUUUAUUGGGCGUAAAGAGAGUGCAGGCGGUUUUCUAAGUCUGAUGUGAAAGCCUUCGGCUUAACCGGAGAAGUGCAUCGGAAACUGGAUAACUUGAGUGCAGAAGAGGGUAGUGGAACUCCAUGUGUAGCGGUGGAAUGCGUAGAUAUAUGGAAGAACACCAGUGGCGAAGGCGGCUACCUGGUCUGCAACUGACGCUGAGACUCGAAAGCAUGGGUAGCGAACAGGAUUAGAUACCCUGGUAGUCCAUGCCGUAAACGAUGAGUGCUAGGUGUUGGAGGGUUUCCGCCCUUCAGUGCCGGAGCUAACGCAUUAAGCACUCCGCCUGGGGAGUACGACCGCAAGGUUGAAACUCAAAGGAAUUGACGGGGGCCCGCACAAGCGGUGGAGCAUGUGGUUUAAUUCGAAGCUACGCGAAGAACCUUACCAGGUCUUGACAUCUUGCGCCAACCCUAGAGAUAGGGCGUUUCCUUCGGGAACGCAAUGACAGGUGGUGCAUGGUCGUCGUCAGCUCGUGUCGUGAGAUGUUGGGUUAAGUCCCGCAACGAGCGCAACCCUUGUUACUAGUUGCCAGCAUUAAGUUGGGCACUCUAGUGAGACUGCCGGUGACAAACCGGAGGAAGGUGGGGACGACGUCAGAUCAUCAUGCCCCUUAUGACCUGGGCUACACACGUGCUACAAUGGACGGUACAACGAGUCGCGAACUCGCGAGGGCAAGCAAAUCUCUUAAAACCGUUCUCAGUUCGGACUGCAGGCUGCAACUCGCCUGCACGAAGUCGGAAUCGCUAGUAAUCGCGGAUCAGCAUGCCGCGGUGAAUACGUUCCCGGGCCUUGUACACACCGCCCGUCACACCAUGAGAGUUUGUAACACCCAAAGUCGGUGGGGUAACCUUUUAGGAGCCAGCCGC
rnacentral:rRNA from 2 species